rnacentral:rRNA from 1 species
GACGAACGCUGGCGGCGUGCUUAACACAUGCAAGUCGAACGGCAAGGCACUGCGUUUGUGGUCUGCUCGAGUGGCGAACGCGUGAGUAACACGUGAGUAACCUGACCUUGACUUUGGGAUAACUUCAGGAAACUGGACCUACUCCCGGAUAGGAUAUCCUGCUGCGUUGUGGGCGUUGGAACGUUUCUGCGGUUGGGGAUGGACUCGCGGCUUAUCAGCUUGUUGGUGGGGUAGUGGCUUACCAAGGCUUUGACGGGUAGCCGGCCUGAGAGGGUGACCGGGCACAUUGGGACUGCGAUACGGCGCAGACGCCUACGGUAGGCAGCAGUGGGGAAUCUGGCACAAUGGGCGCAAGCCGGAUGCAGCAACGUCGCGGGCGGAAAGACGGUCUUCGGGGUGUAAACCGCUGUCGCCUGUGACGAAGCGUGAGUGACGGUAAUGAGAAAAGAAGCACCGGCUAACUACGUG